GCGCUGCUGCGGCUUUGACCUCCCAAAUGUCGACCAUCGGCGAGGUGUGUGAGGAGUUGUCUUUUUACUUUUAGCUCUACCUACACUGUGUCUCUCAGCCCUAAAUGUAAAAAAAAUAAUAAUAAUAAAAAAAGUUUAAACUCCUUAAUUAAGGAGAGAAAUGAUACUGGUUUUAAUGAGUGAGAAUUCAAUGUCGGCUGCUUGACAUGCUGACAAAGCAUUUCUGCUCAGCUUUUUUGUGAUGAAACGGCUUUUUAGUGAUAAACCUAAAUGGAAACGCGAGGAAUACAAUUGCUACAUUGCGUAAUAAUUUUAAGUGUUAGGGCAUAACCCUUCAAAUCACGUUAGCUCUGUGUCUAAAUCAGCACGUGUCUUAAGCUAACAUUAGCAUGGCUAGCGCAGCUGCAGGCCGGUAGUGCUAGCAUCAGUGUCGCUAGCAUCAGUGUCAUGGGCCGUGGUGAUGGUAGCACCCUUUCCACUGUGGUAAACAAAGUGAUUUGACGUCUUUUGUUUAGAUGGAUGCGAUAUUCAACAUACUGCAGCAGUUCAGGCUGGAAUCCUCCCACAGCCAGUUCGUGCUGUUGGGCGUGAAGGAUGUAGAAGAUUUCCUGGAUUGCAUAACGGAUAAAGAUCUGGACAACAUCGGUUUAACUCAUGUGGAGAAGAAUCGUUUUUCGUCCAUGAAAAACUUCAUUCAAAGACUAAAGACUAUGGAGCCACAAGUUCAACCGGUGAUGCCUGUGCAAAGGUGGUGGUUUACUCUGCAGUACACAUACCCCAAAUGUCCUCAGCCUGUGCACAUUAAAGAUAUGGAUCCGGCCAUAAACACGGUUGAGGAUCUGAUGUUGACGAUUUGCCAUCUUGAAAGUGUUGGUAACUCCAAAGGAGUCUGUCUCUACGCAGUCGAUGGGAUGCCCCUAACCGAUGAUCCCUUCUUCAACACGUGGUCUCUAAAAGACAGACAUAUUGAAAAUGGAGCCGUAAUUUACGCCAUAUUUACGCCAAAGGAAAACGUGAAACGGGCUCCUCAGAUACCGAAACGAGAGGUUGGAGAACCCAACGGUGACGAUGUGGUUCGGUGCCACGUCAUGCUCAAGGGAGACUUUGAGGUGACUGUAAACUUGGCAAGUGACACCAUCACCAGUCUGAGACUCAAGCUGGCAAACCAAAGUGGAGUCCCAACACAUGUCCUUCACUACAAAGGUCAACACUGUGGCGGUGACACGCUGCAGCACUGUGGGAUCUCUGAAGGGUCAACGGUGAACUUCUCCUUGUCCACCUUUUCUGACGAGACUUCACACGAUGAGACGUUCUUCAUUAACGAUUGUGUGCCGUCAGUCCAGCAAACCCAGAAGGGAAUCAGUGUGUUCCUGUCCUCACUUUAUGCGAUGAGAAAACAUUAUGCAACAGAGCAACUGAAGAAACUGAUUUCCUACAUAAGAAAACUGACUGGAUGCAACCCUCUCGCCCAAAGUUUGCAUCAGUUACUCUGUAGGAAUGAAAAGUUAACCAGGAAUCAGAAGAUUGCAGUCUUUGAGGGCUUGUACGUCCUCUUUCGAGAGCUUCUGCCUCAGCGUGCAGCACAACGGGGGGGAGAAGAUCAUUGA
ensembl:lncRNA